rnacentral:tRNA from 1 species
AAACCGAAAGAGAAGAGCAGAGAGAAGCACGUCUGGGGCGACUCCUCCUAUUGCAGUUAAGGUACUCAGGUCCUGUGUGACCAGAAGAAAACAGCUGCGAAGGAAAUUCUGGUGACCCUGGAGGCUGAGAAUUCACCUGCAAAUGCCAAUAACCGAGAGUGCUCCGGACAGGCGGUUCCAUGGUUGUAAUGGUGAGCACUCUGGACUCUGAAUCCAGCGAUCGAGUUCAAAUCUCGGUGGGACCUUGUCGUUAGCUGUGCACAAAAGCUGGUCUUUUAUACUGGAGCCGGAAGGAAGGCGUUCCAGGAGGCAAACUCCGCCUCAAAGAUAAAGGGAAAGGGGUGUGGAUUCCGUUUGCCCUUUGUUCCAAGUCCUGGGUCAGAGGAGGGAAAGGUUUGGGUCCUGGGAGGGUUCCCCGCAGGGUGCGGGCUGUUGCAACUCCCCACGUCCCUCCUGCUCCCGACUUGCAAUGCGUCCCCGGUGAUGUCACUUGCGCUCUCCUAUCCCCUCCUCAGGGGACCAGGUCCCAAAAACUGGGUUCUCACAGUGGCCUGAUCCACAGGGAAAUUGCCAAAGCAUCCAAUGGGAGUCACCAAGCCUGGAGGGUCCCCGUCCUGAGCGGGCCUCUUGGCCCGUGCAAUGGGAGGGGCCAGAGCCCACAGCCAGUGCCCCAGCGACCCAGGAAGCCCCACCCCGUGACCCUGGGUUUUGGGGUGAGAGGUCUCCGCCACUGAAAUGGCUGCCUCGCCUCGAUCCUAGACCCGGAGAUGCCUUUCACCCAGAACAUCUCAUAAUGGCACCCGUUGUCUUUUUGAUUUUUUUUGCCGAAUUUCUAGCUCCCACGUCUCUAUUGCGGGCUCUUUGUCGCUGUUUCACUAAGCUUUGGAAGCUGAGUCUGGAAAUCUCAUUCUUUGGUCCCAGGAUCUCAGCUGGAAAGAGAAAUCCGCGCAGCGGCCUCUUAAGCUCGCGGACUGGAAGCCCUGGUCCUGAUCCUCCGCAGCCUGGAGGGAGCUCCCGCAGGGCCACAGGGAAGAGGAGGCUGAGCAGCCCAGAGGGAUGAGUGUCAGACGCCGGGCUCCCCCUCGACCGGCCAGGACCCCAGCCCCAAGGAGAAGAGGACGCCUUAGGACCAGACAGAUGCAAAAAUGUUUUCUUCUGAGCAGUAGAACACUUCGGAUGAGGCUCAUGGUGGGCGUUGAGAGCGCGCUAAGAUGUCCCUCCAGGCGCUCAGGACCAUCGCUCUGAUUUUCAUAUUUUGAAAAUAUGAGAAUUUUCAGCAGUUACAAAGGACUGAAAAACACCGAAGUCUUUGAGGCAGUCAGUUUGGAGGAUGUGGGGAGGUGAGGUGUGGGGUGGGAGAGAGGUGCCUUGUUGGCUCCUUGGAGUGGACCGGGAGGAAGGAAAACACACACACACGCUGUUUCCCCUUGCAGGCUGGACUGAAGGGCCUGGGAUGGAAAAUUGCACAGUGAAAGAGGAGCAGGUGCAUUGAAAGUUGCUAUCCCUAGAGAGAAGUGCGGGCGGGGCCAGGACGCUGCCGUCACUGCUGCUGUUCACCACCAGCUUUGCAGCGUGUGAGACCUUCAUAACAGUGUAUAGUGCAUGCAGAUCACUCGUGUUUACAAGCAACUGAUCACAAUUCCUUACAGAUUUCUUUGUUCCUUCCCCACUCCCACUGCUUCACUUGUCUAAACUUAAAGGAAAAAAUAAAACGUUUGUUUUUACACAUGAUGUUGUUUAAGUUGAUCCUCAGCCCACCCUCCUCAAGCAGCUGGGAUCACAGGUAUACAACACGGUGUCCAGCUAAUUCUUGUGUAUUUUAUAGUGAUGGGGGUUUUGCCAUGUUGGCCAGGCUGGUCUCGAACUCCUGGACUCAAGUGAUCUGCCUGCCUGGGCCUCCCAAAGUGCUGGGAUUAAGUGCUGGCCUGCGUGCCCAGCCAUCAUUUGUAUUUUGCAUUUAAAUAUUUUACAGUCAUAUGUAUCACUUCUCAAAGAUUCUGGGUUUUGUAGCAUGUGAAUGAUGGGGUUCCAGACACGCUACUCCAAAAUAUAACACCUUGAGCUCUUAAACAUUUUAUACUAAAGGGAUUUGAGAAAACAACAGAAGCAGGAAGGCCACUGUCACCUCCCCCUGCCCUUCGUCCCGGAAGCCAAUCAUAAGGCUCUCAUGUGAGAGGUGCCCUCUCUGUACCCAGAGGAAAUGUGCAUCGCUGUGUCUGAAGGUACAGGGACACAGAGAAGAGUCUGAAUGUAUAGGCCUGGCUAUGUUUCCCCCAGCUUAUUACCAUUAGAUGGUACUGUGGGGGUGAUGGCCCACAGGGUCAUGGAUUGUCCCUUAUGCUGUGCUGAGGCACAGGAUCCAAGAAAUAAAGACACAGGACACAGAAGUACAAGGAAAAUGCAGCUGGGCUCGGGGAGCCACGCCACCUAUGAGUGGAGUCAGGCAUUGAGGCCCCGAAUGUCCAGAAGUGUGAGUAUUUAUUGUGUAUAGGUUAGGGGGCAGGGCAGUGAGUGACGUCAUCUUUAAGGAUAGUGAUAGGGUCGUGAGCAAUAAAACUAGGGGUCCACCCCUAUUCGGUCACCUAGGCUGGGAGAUGGACAGUGCACAGCAGGGAGUCCAUUCCCAUUAGGUCAUCGAGGCAAGGGCCAUGUGCAGUAUGGAGUCCAUCCCAUUAGGUCACCGAGGCAUGGAGGUGGGCCGUGCGCAGUGAAGAGGGUGCAGUGUGCAAUACCUCUAUGUAUGGGCAAGCUACUAAGAAGAUUUAAAGGAGGAUGCUUUAAGUCACACAGCAGUGACAGAGCUGUCAGGGUCUACACCACCUGGUGGCAGCUUCCAAUGAGUUCUAUAGGGGAAUGCUUUUCAAGCAGCACAGUAACAAGAGCUGGUAAAGUUCACAGUCGCCAAGGUGCGAUUGCUGGUCUGAGGGCAGCCUCCCACAAGAACUGGAGCAAGGUCCUACAACUCCUUAUCAGGAGGAGUGGCUCUCGCCCCAAGCCUCCCAUACAGCGGGUAUCUUUACGAUACUGAACGCUGCCCCCUGGGCCAUGGAUUCUUGUCCUGGUGUAACUGCUCUUCCCUUAAAUCAUGCUGUGCACUGUGUCUGCUCUAGGCAUUCCUCCGAUUAUAAGCUGCUUAUUCCUUAAUUCAUGCUCUGUACUCUGUCCACUCUAGGCAUUCCUCUGAUUAUAAACUAAGAUAUCAUUUUAUAUAUAUGGAAAUAACUGAAUGGUAGGAUAUUCUUUAGGCACUCAUUCUAUGAACUAAUAUAUGAUUAUAUAGAGAGGAUUGUACAAAGGGAAAUAACUGAGCAGUAACACUAUAAACUGAGAUAUUCUCCAAGCCCUAUUUCUGUAAACUGAGAUAUUCUCCAGGCCUUAAUUGUGCCAGGAUUCUGCUUAGCUCUCCUUCCUCAGUACCUCUACAGGGGGUUCCCCACAUCGUACUCUUUUCAUUCCUUCACACUUCUCUAUGACUAUCCACUCUUUAUCUAAACUACUGUUAAAGAAAAAAAACCCUGAGGCUUAGCUGUUUCCAUGGGCCUUCAUUUCCUUUGGAAGGCGCUCCAGUCAUGUGAAACUGACAUUAAAUAACUAAGUAUGCUCUUCUCUUGUUAGUCUGUCUUUUGCUGUAAGGGUCUCAGCAGUGAACCUAGGCUGGGCGAGGAAAAAUCAUAUUUCCUCCCCUGCGGGCACAAAUGUCUUCCACUUUAAAACUAUAAAAAUUUUAUUGAGGCUGAUUUGAUGCAAGAAAUCGAAUCACUGAUUUCCUUUAGAUGAGCUAAUAAAGUCCCAGUUCCUCCCAGAGAGAAAUAGGGUUUGGUUUUGUUUUGUUUUUUGAGACCAAGUUUCACUUGUUGCCCAGGCUAAAGGGCAAUGGUGUGAUCUUGGCUCACCAUAACCUCCACCUCCCGGGUUCAAGUGAUUCUCCUGCCUCAGCCUCCAAGGUAGCUGGGAUUACAGGCAUGCACCACCAUGCCCAGCUAAUUUCGUAUUUUUAGUAGAGACGGGGUUUCUCCAUGUUGGUCAGGCUGGUGUUGAACUCCUGACCUCAGGUGAUCCUCCCACUUUGGCCUCUCAAAGUGCUGGGAUUAUAGGCAUGAGCCACCGUGGACAGCCAGAGAAACACUUCUAUAGCUCAUUCCCUGAAGCUCCUUGAGGGUCAAACCUGCUGAAGAUUGAGGGACUUCCUGGGACCUCCCCCCAGGAGAUCACUGCUGGUGAGAGGAUUGCCGCAGUCUCCCUGGGAGGGUGCACGGCCACUGGAAAGUAUCACUGCUGUGACUUCAACACAGCCGGUUUUCAUCACAUCUGCUCUUUCUAUUUGUUUUCUUGGAGAUGAGACUCGCUCUAUCACCCAGGGUAUAGUGAUAGUGGUGCAAUCACAGCUCACUGCAACCUCUGCCUCCUCGGUUCAAGUGAUUCUUCUGCCUCAGUCUCCCGAGUCACUGGGAUUACAGAUGCACCACAAUGGGG